ensembl:lncRNA
GGGAAAGGAUCCCCCCUCCACACACACACACACAGACUGCUGCACUUCAUCCCUUCCACCUGCCUCCAUCGCUCCUAUUUCUCCCAGUGUCAUCACUCCACCUGUAUCUUAUUCCCUCUCACUCCAUCCAUCCAGCCAUCCUUCUUUUUUUCUCUCCAGCCCCCACGCCCUUCUAACCCACACACUCUGUGUCACCACCGUGGUCAAGAAAAUGAUCAGCCAACAAGCUGGAAGAGGUAGAGGAGAGGAAAAAGAGUGGAGAAAGAGAGGAAGAGUGAACUCUGUCCAUUUAAGAUACUCCAAACGUUCCAGUUUCCUCUAUGGAUUAUCCAGAGCCCCAUGGACGUAUGGAGGAGUGGAGGAGAAAAGAAAAAGACGAAUAGAGAAGAGAGAAAAAAGGAAUUGCACUCCGGACAGCCAGUCCGUGUGACGGCCGGAGUGUUUUAGUGUGAGUGUGUGUACGGCGUAACCAACCCAUUCUGCAGUGGAGCCGCGGAGCACAGGGGGAGCCUGAGUUACUACAUGUCUUAGUCAGACCACGCCCCAGUUCACCUUCACCUGUUUUUGCAGUCUGCACGGCUUCUGCCGGAGACGGAGGAAAAAGAAAAAGCAGAAAGGGGAGGAACAGGAUGAGAUGCAGGAGAAACGGAGGGAUCAGGAGACUGAGGUGUGAAGGAAGACUGGAGCGACUUCACCCUCCUCUUCAUUCUCUCAGAGACGAUUGUGACGGCAUUCUAAUUUCUACAUCCAGAUCAUUUUCUUCACGCUGUUAUGCGUCUCUCCUCCACCUGCAGCAGCUGUUCAAUCAGCAGCUUCACUGGAGUGCAUAGGUAUAGGUCAAAGCUCAAAACUAACGUUCUUUACUAUCUCCUACACCACGGAGACACACGUGCGCACACACACACGUGCACACACACACACGCAUUAAUUAAAGUCCUGUGUAGGUCUAUGAAUGCCAGUGGGGUGUAGGGACACCUAUCACCUGUUUAUGAUGAAAGUAGUGAAUGUGAUUGUGUGUGCACUGAGACUUCAUUGCAGCGGGACCACAGAGAGUUGCAGGACUGCACCUACCAGUUAAGAUAAGCAUAUGCUGCAGAAUGAAUGCCCUUUACACGCACAUGCACGCAAGCACACAUGCACGCAAACACACACACACGCAGGUCUCAUUAGCCUGUGUAAUUAUGCAUGGCACGUCCAGUUGGCCAGUGGAGAAGUAAUUAACCUUUUCCAGCAGGAAACAGCAAUCUGGACGUCUGACACACUCACAUGCACGCACACACGUCUGGUGUCACGGAAAUAAAGUGUCAAAGACAGCGGCUGGCAUUCAAUGAUAAUCCCCUCACGCAUAUUUCUGUCCAAGGCUUAAAACACUAAUAAUGCCAAAUUACCUCUCCUCUCCCUUCAUCUUCCCUCCUUUCUCUUUCUCCCUCUUCUUGUCCCCAAGUCCUUCUCUGUCUUUCUCUCUGCUUAACUCUGUCUGUCUGUCUGUCUGUCUGUCUGUCUGUCUGUCUGUCUGUCUGUCUGUCUGUCUGUCUGUCUGUCUGUCUGUCUGUCUGUCUGUCUGUCUGUCUGUCUGUCUGUCUGUCUGGCUACGAAACCUCUUUUCUCCACCACUCUCCCUGUCUCCCUCCCUGUCUCCCUCUCCUUUCUCCCCUCUCUCAAUCAAUUUGCCCACAUCCCUCUCUCUCCUGCUCUUUAUCUCUCAGUAAAACACAUGUUCUCUGGGCAGUGAGCAUGGCCUUGCCUGGCUGGCAGCACCCAUAGAUUAACACCAGCACUCUGACUCUCACUCAGGGAGCCCUCUCGCCAAGAACACAACAGCUGCUUUACAGUUGAAGGAGUAGGAUGCCUGUGUGUGUAUGUGUGUGUGUGUGUGUGUGUGUGUGUGUGUGUGUGUGUUUAUAAGAAUAGAUUAAGCGAUAGGGUUGAUUGUGUAUUUAUCCAUUCUACCAUUGAGGGAAAGUGAAAUGGGAUAACACAAAGCCAUUUCACAGACAGGAGCAGAUAUGAGUCACCAUGCUACAGAAAGACUUUUCAACCAGAAAGAGAGGGAGAGGGGGAGAGAGAGAACAGUUAAUGAGAGAGGGAUGAAAAUGGAAGAGGGAGCUAAUACUCGGCAGUCAUGCUAAUUGGCUACAUUUGCUAACUCUCUGAGGCGAGAGGAUCCCGGCAUUACAUUCGUUUAAUGCUCCCUCCAUCACGUUAAAGAAAGGAUUCGCUUGAAUAAUGAAGAGGAGCUGAAAUGAAUAACAGUUUGUUAUUAUCUGUGGGAGGGUUGUUUUUCACCUGAGUGACUAUGUGUAGACUUCUAUGGAUCAUAUCCAUGCUCACCGAGCCUUACUCAAGGACAAACAGCUAAAAAUAGAGGGGAGUACGCGACCACUAUAAUAGCAGGAGCAAAGGAAGGAAGGGAGAGGGAGAGAGAACGAGUGCUGUCAGAUUAGAUUCGGGUCAGAAAAGAUGGGAAGAGCAAGUGAGGCAGAGGGUGUUUCAUACGGAGGAGAUUAAUCACUCUCUCUCCCUUUGUCUCACUGCUGCUUUCUCUCCCUCUCUUUCUUCCUUUGUCUCUCUCUCUCGCAUUCUCUUUGUCCCUCUCUCCCUCUCUCUCUCUACUCAAUACCACACUAUUGCACACCUGCAAGAUGGGGGGGGGAAGUGGGGAGGAAGAGAGACAAUUAAACUGAUCUAUAGUGGAAUAAGGAGAAAGAGGAAACCCUCAAUUUCACUCCUCAUCACCUUCUCCUCUCUCCUCCUCUCCUCAUCACCUUCUCCUCUCUCCUCCUCUCCUCAUCACCUUCUCCUCUCUCCUCCUCUCCUCAUCACCUUCUCCUCUCUCCUCCUCUCCUCAUCACCUUCUCCUCUCUCCUCCUCUCCUCAUCACCUUCUCCUUCUCCUCCUCUCCUCAUCGCCUUCUCCUCUCUCCUCCUCUCCUCAUCACCUUC